CAGUAGCCGCGGUAAUACGGAGGGUGCUAGCGUUGUUCGGAAUCACUGGGCGUAAAGGGCGCGUAGGCGGCCUGUUAAGUCGGAUGUGAAAGCCCGGGGCUCAACCCCGGAACUGCAUCCGAGACUGGCAGGCUUGAGACCGGGAGAGGAGGGUGGAAUAUCCAGUGUAGAGGUGAAAUUCGUAGAUAUUGGAUGGAACACCGGUGGCGAAAGCGGCUCUCUGGCCCGGAUCUGACGCUGAGGCGCGAAAGCGUGGGGAGCAAACAGGAUUAGAUACCCCGGUAGUCCCUGUCUCUUAUAC
rnacentral:rRNA from 1 species